GUUGUAGCUCAGUGGUAGAGCGCUUGCCUGGCACAUAUAAGGCACUGGGUUUGAUCCUCAGCAAACA
rnacentral:tRNA from 1 species